AGCGGUGGAGUCAUGUGGUUUAAUUCGAAGCAACGCGAAGAACCUUACCAAAUCUUGACAUCCCUCUGACCGGCGAGUAAUGUCGCCUUUCCUUCGGGACAGAGGAGACAGGUGGUGCAUGGUUGUCGUCAGCUCGUGUCGUGAGAUGUUGGGUUAAGUCCCGCAACGAGCGCAACCCUUAUCCUAAGUAGCCAGCAGUUCGGCUGGGCACUCUUGGGAGACUGCCAGGGAUAACCUGGA
rnacentral:rRNA from 1 species